rnacentral:rRNA from 1 species
GAUGAACGCUGGCGGCGUGCCUAAUACAUGCAAGUCGAGCGAACAGAUGAGGAGCUUGCUCCUCUGACGUUAGCGGCGGACGGGUGAGUAACACGUGGAUAACCUACCUAUAAGACUGGGAUAACUUCGGGAAACCGGAGCUAAUACCGGAUAAUAUAUUGAACCGCAUGGUUCAAUAGUGAAAGACGGUUUUGCUGUCACUUAUAGAUGGAUCCGCGCCGCAUUAGCUAGUUGGUAAGGUAAUGGCUUACCAAGGCAACGAUGCGUAGCCGACCUGAGAGGGUGAUCGGCCACACUGGAACUGAGACACGGUCCAGACUCCUACGGGAGGCAGCAGUAGGGAAUCUUCCGCAAUGGGCGAAAGCUUGACGGAGCAACGCCGCGUGAGUGAUGAAGGUCUUCGGAUCGUAAAACUCUGUUAUUAGGGAAGAACAAAUGUGUAAGUAACUAUGCACGUCUUGACGGUACCUAAUCAGAAAGCCACGGCUAACUACGUG